CUUGCCUGGUUAAAUAAAGAUUAAAUAAAGGUUUGGAAAAAAAACGCUGUCCAAAAAUACUGAUUUCUGAUUAUGAAAAUUUGAAUUCUGCCCUAAUUAAUCGGCCAUUCUGAUUAAUCGGUCGACCUCUGAGUUCCCAUAGUGAUUUCACAGUCUGAUACUGCUUCACAUUGGCUGUUUGGACAGUGUGUCUGAAAUUGCCAUCGCUUCAUUUGAACAUCAUGCACUUGGCUUUGGGAGAUGAUUGCUUUCAUCGAGCUUUUAAAUCUAAAUGAUAUGCCUGGUCUCAUGAUAGAUCCUCUGGUUUAGUGAUGACCUGUUAUGCCCUUUUUAUGAGCAAUAUCUUGUUGAUUAUUCCCUUUCGCCUGGAGGUGUUUCAACAGCAAAGGGCUAAAGCUACAGUGACUCACACAUUACCUUCCCCCUCUACUCUUCCUACACACCCAGAUAAAUAGUGUGCUCUCUUGGUAACCAAAUUAGUUGAAGCUACCUGGAAAAGUGUGUGUGUGGGAGGGAGGGGUGAUUUUGACUUUUGAUACCAGGUUUCUUAUCACAAUACUCAAUACCAUCACGAUCCUCGAUACCAAAAUGGUACCACGGCAAAAAAAAGGUGUUAGCCAAUGUCACAGAAUGCCACUUGAUCCAGACAGAUCUUUUGAGCUCAAUAUUAUUACAUUUUAAAUGAUAGAUUUCCUGCAAGCAUAUGACAGUUUUUGGCGCACGUCUCCUGUAGAAUUCAUUGUGGCCAGCCAGCAGGUCAAAUGAGCGACUAAUAUUAACGAGUCACUCAGAAAAACGAAUCAUGACUCUCGAAUCCGUAAUAAGUUGUUCAAAAAUAACGAAUUGUUGACGAACUGCAUCAUUGACUGGGAGAGACUUGAGGUGGGGGGGGACUAAAAGCGUCCGCAUGCUUCCCAAAAACAGUUCGCUAGAGUUUGUGCAUAUAUUAUGACAUCAUUUUGACUUUUUUGUUAUAUGGAAGCAAGCCGAAGUUGGUAGCGGAAGUCUUCUCCCCUUCGUCUGUGAUUGGUCAGUAGGGAUAGUUUAGUUUUUGUUUUCAUGCAAAACUUAUCAUUGAGAUACUGCACCAGACAUCUUAGUCAUGCGUCUUUACAUGCAACUAAGAUCUCUGCAAUGACAACUUAAGAAAUCUAACUUGAUAUUCAUUCGGACCUUUUUUGAGGAAGUGGAUACUGGCUACGGCGUCUCAAAAUGGACAAACGGUAAUAUUGCCGCUUUCCCCCCCCCCUCCCUUUUCAAGCGAAGGUCUUUUUAAUUGAAUAUGCGAGCACACUCGUUCGGUUCAGCUAGGCGCCUGCCGAACUGAAGCAUGUUGGCGCCUUAUGUGGCUGUCACAAAUCUUUAUUCAAUCCGCAAUAUUUUGCAUUAUCGUUAGCAUAUUAUCACAAGGUCACUAGGGUUGUGAAUUGAUGUGUACUUCAGCUGUAAGCUACCAAGGAAAGAGCCUACAAAGCUGGUUGCUACCGGUGUGUUCUAGCCUGUGUGGAUUUUGUUUUGCAAACACUAAUGAACAUUUUCUACAUGCCACAUUGCAUUAUUCAAGUGUGUUAACUUCUGUGCAGAAUGAGUGGAGUGCUUACAUGAUGCAGCCCAGACUCCCAGUGGUUCUUCAGGACAGGUUAGAGCUAGCAAUGGGUAAGCAGUCACGGCACUGCUCUCGCGCUAUAAGGGAACUAUAAGCUGGGCUGCUCUACUCAGAUUAGCAUGGAAGGCUUCUAGAGAAUGUCAGAGGAAUGUAUGACAAUGACUGAGGCCUGGUGACUCAUGAUAUUCUUGGUCAAAUUCCACAGCUGAUUGUGGUUCCUCCACUCUCUGUGACACCUUUGUCAUGACUGGCGCUAACAGAAUACUCAGCAGUAGUUCUCUCACUCUCGAAUGGAAUCUCUCUCCAGAAACAAUGUAGAGCAUUUCUCUCUGUAAUGGAUGAGUUAGCCAUUAUUUUUCCUGGCAGUGAAAAUAUGGGCCACCAAGAGAGCACUGUCUGUGUGCUGGCUGUGACCCAGUGAUGGAGCUUCAGGGUCACACACAGAGCUGACAAUGGCAUUCUGUCCCCCUACUGCACACACACGGAGCGCUCUGACAUCACAUCAGCAGCCCUCUGCAAAGAGAACCUGCCCUGCCUGCCUGCCCUGUGCCAAACGGGUACAUUGCCUUAGCAGAGCAGAGCAGAGGCUAAGCUGGAGCGCCAACAAAAGAUGAAACUAUUGACCUGUGACUUAAUCCUUUAAUCCUGCUAUGCUAUGGUGUUGUGCAACCUCAAAUGCAGAGGAUUUCUCAUUCUGGGGAAAGGGCAUGGUUUUAUGAUGGUGACCCGGCCAACCCCUCUGCGAUGUGCCAUGAAUGCCCAUCAUGCUCUUGGUGUGUGUGCUCAAGCUUUAUGUUAGUCAUAAACUGCUGCAGUCUGUUCUAUACUAUGUUAUUGUGUGCUGUGCUGCAUGCGUUUUCCAUUGGACACUGGGCUGUGUCAUCUCAUGUACAGUACGGCCUUUUGAGCAUUUAAAGAGGGAGAGGAGGGAGCUUGCGGGCGGUGGGAUGGAGGUGCAGUAAAACGCUGGACGUCCACGAGUCAAAGAGCAGCUCUUCAACAGCAACCAGCUCCAUCAGGCAGUAAACGCUUUAAUAUGCUGCUAAUUAUUUCUGAGAGAUUGGAUGUUGAUUAAAAAGCGAAACGUUUUUAAUUAUAACUCAAAUGUUAAUGCCGUCCCAAGUGAAGAAAAUGUUUAGGCUUACGCGAGGAGAACUUCUAAUAGACUGAACCAAAGCUCCACUACUCCAAUUUAGAAUCUUGUUUAUUUUUCUUGACUUUUAGCACUAAAUGGGCUUAACUGCUGUUGUUUCGUUGGGUGUCAUUUGAUGUUAGUGUAUGUCAUCAAUGCCCAACCGGAGCUGCCUAGCCUGAACCCUAUCUCCAUUUAAAAUUCAUGACAUUCUAGCUCUGCAGGGAUUUCUGAUCAUGCUUUGCCCACCCAGGUAAUUCCUUUAACUCAUGCUUGGGCAACUUCAGCUUGUUCUCAUCACACACUUCGGUUGUGACUUAAUUGGUUAGUUUUUGUCACAUACACCGGAUUGGUGCAGUGAAAUGUGGUGUUUUACACGGUCAGCCAUAGAAUUACGGCACCCCUGGAGUAAAUUAGGGUUAAGUGCCUUGCUCAAGGGGACAUCGAUAGAUUUAUCACUUUGUCUGCUCGGUUAUUCGAACCAGCGGCCUUUUGGUUACUGGCCAAGCGCUCUAAACUCAAGGCUACCUGCCGCCCUUGGAAGAGUGCUUGUGCACAGUCAUUUGUGAAGGGAAUGAUAUUGGAUUAACAAAUACACCAUAUUGAGCUGGAACUCAAAAUGAAGACAGCAGUCUCUUGUUUUAUUCAGGUACAGUCUCUAUACGUUAUAAUUGCAGGAGGAUUUAGAAGACUUCCUGAUAAUGUGAGUUUGCUGUAGCUACUGACGACACUGGAGCGAAACCUCUCUGGUCCUGAGGCAGUGCUAGCGCCAGCGCCUCCUUAGCUUGCUGCCUGCCUGCCCCAGAGCCAGGCUCAGGAUUUAAUUGUGGUUUAUUGGACAGGAUCUGGGGAAUGCUGAUGAGGGAAAGGCUCUCAAUAAUGCCACAAACGGUCCUCCUGCCAGUGCCUUAAGUGGUCUAUUUGUGAUUCAGCAUGCAUGCUUUCUUCCUCUCUCCCUCUUCCGCUCCCUGUCUGACUGCCAGGCUGGCAUGGAGUUGAGCUCCCAAGGGGUGAGUGUGUUAAUGCGGGCCCCCAGGCCCGGGGACCAGGGUAAUUGGGUUCGCAUGGUCGGUGUCAGGGCACCACCACCGCUCCCUACACAAAGGCCACCUCCCAGCCAAGCUGUUCAGGACAGAGAGACAAACCCCUCAUCACUGGUGUAAUUCAUUGGAAAGGCUUAUUGAAUUACUGGAAUGGUGUAUGUGCUUUUUGUAUGAGGGCCUGCUGCAGAUUGCGCAAUGAGCUGAGGGCCUUGUGUUUGCCUGCCUGCUUGCGUGUUCAGCUCUCUCUCUCAGCUCAGACGCUUGGCUCUGAACACUACCGUGAAUAACGGCAGACGGCUGAGAAAAUCUGUAAUAUCCCCAAAUGGCGUAAUUACUGCAGAUUCCAUUCAGAUAACCUUCUCUUGUUUCCAGUGCCUGUUUGACCAUGUCUGCAUGUAGGGGUCACAGAGCCUGUUGUCUGCGUUGUGACAGCCUGGAGGCUGGAGCUUUUUGGCUGGGCCUCAUCCAGCCCUGACUGGAUGGGCUGGAGUCUGCUGCAGCUUAAUGUUGACAUGCAUGCACAUCCAUGUAGACUGUUGAUUUGUCUGGUUUGUUUGAUACUAAGUGAUUGGAGCCCCCUCACUAGUAUGUUAUGCUCAUAGCAACAAGAGUGAAGGUGUUCAUUUCUUUGCCUGCUUGCCUUUCAGGUUCAGUGGGUUUAAAAGAAACCCAGCAUUAAGUUUUGCAAUGUUGACUAGUCUCUUCCGCCUGGCUAUGUGUAGCAUUAAACUGACCCAUACACCACACAGUGGCACUCUCCUCUAAUUGGAAGUAUAAUUCUGAACUAUGAUAAUCAGCCACUGGUGAGGUGGGAACAGGGGAAUCGGCGAACCCACCUCCCCUACAAUAUACUACAUUAUACCGUUGGCUACUUCACUCAAUCACCAGACCCAACCAACAUAAAACAGGUUCUCAACACUAAAACAGAACUCUCCACCACAAUCCUACCCCAUACACACACUGUUAGGACCGCUGUCUGAAAAUGGCUGCUGUCUCAGAGCCCAGCUUGGCAGUGGUCUUCAAUAAGCCGAACAAUGUGCUCAGCAGUGUGAGCAGUGAAGUGAUAAUUGACACAUCCUAAAAAUUCAAGAAGGCUGUUGUUAAUGUUCCUUCUCUUCCUUUGAGUGGAUUUAACAGAACCACUUUAAGACUUUAAUUGACAAGGAAUACUGCCAUUAAAGCCGUUGCCUUGGCACUGCCAUUACCUACUUUUUAGUUUUUUAAAGAUGAGACCCACUUGGGGCGUUCACGCGGCACCAUUACAAAAGCUCACGUGGAAUCACAAUGGCCAGUCGUGUUGCUAUUUUAGUUUCUGUUUAAAAAAACAUAAGUCUUCCAAUAAGCCCUGUGCCUCCAGGGCUGGAAAAAGUGAGGAAUCUCACUUUGUCUGAAGGGCAGGUGAGCGUGGUUCCCACCCCUCCCUGUUUCCCCGAUUGCAUAUCAGUAGGAAAACAAGGGCUUCUCCAGCGCUGGAACCAGGCUGUUGAUAUGGAAGGUAUGGCCAGGGUUUCAGUGGAGAGAGAUGAUGCCAAAAGCUUGUUACCAGGUUACAUCACUGUUGUUGUGAGUUGUGUGCCAGAUCUUCAGGCGUAGCAGAGGGAGCUCGCAGAGCCAUUCCUCUCUCCGUCGCUCUCCUCACACACACAAACAGGCCAGGCUGUGGGCAGUAUUUAACCAUCAUUGGUAUAAAUAUUUAUUGUUAAGUGUUUGAUUCUGUCAGUUUUGAAUGCAGCGUUCAUUAGGACUUGGGAUUUGCCAGGGAACUCUCAAUACGAUAUUAUCAACGUUACUUAGGUUCCGAUAUGUAUUGCGAUUCGACGUUCCAAACAUAUUGCUCACUAUCUCUGCUGCAUUGGGAUAAGAGCAUGAGAACUAGUUUGAUCAGUAGUGGAAAUAAGUGUUGAAAACGUGGCUUUCUAUUGAAAAAGAUGGAGAGCAACUUAUAGGAUGAAAUACUGGUGUUUUUGCAUUGGUACUGCCAACUAGUGCAAGCUGGUACAAAAAGAACAUCACGGUACCUAUGGUACAAAAAGAACAUCACGGUACCUAUGGUACAAAAAAAGAACAUCACGGUACCUAUGGUACAAAAAAAGAACAUCACGGUACCUAUGGGACAAAAAAAGAACAUCACGGUACCUAUGGGACAAAAAAAGAACAUCACGGUAACUAUGGGACAAAAAAAGAACAUCACGGUAACUAUGGGACAAAAAAAGAACAUCACGGUAACUAUGGGACAAAAAAAGAACAUCACGGUACCUAUGGUAUCCAAAAAGAACAUCACGGUACCUAUGGUAUCCAAAAAGAACAUCACGGUACCUAUGGUAUCCAAAAAGAACAUCACGGUACCUAUGGUACAAAAAAAGAACAUCACGGUACCUAUGGUAUCCAAAAAGAACAUCACGGUACCUAUGGUAUCCAAAAAGAACAUCACGGUACCUAUGGUAUCCAAAAAGAACAUCACGGUACCUAUGGUAUCCAAAAAGAACAUCACGGUACCUAUGGUAUCCAAAAAGAACAUCACGGUACCUAUGGUAUCCAAAAAAAGAACAUUACGGUACCUAUGGUAUCCAAAAAGAACAUCACGGUACCUAUGGUAUCCAAAAAGAACAUCACGGUACCUAUGGUAUCCAAAAAGAACAUCACGGUACCUAUGAUAUCCAAAAAGAACAUCACGGUACCUAUGGUAUCCAAAAAGAACAUCACGGUACCUAUGAUAUCCAAAAAGAACAUCACGGUACCUAUGGUAUCCAAAAAGAACAUCACGGUACCUAUGGUAUCCAAAAAGAACAUCACGGUACCUAUGGUACCCAAAAAGAACAUCACGGUACCUAUGGUACCCAAAAAGACCAUCACGGUACCUAUGGUACCCAAAAAGACCAUCACGGUACCUAUGGUACCCAAAAAGAACAUCACGGUAUCUAUGGUAUCCAAAAAGAACAUCACGGUACCUAUGGUAUCCAAAAAGAACAUCACGGUACCUAUGGUAUCCAAAAAGAACAUCACGGUACCUAUGGUACCCAAAAAGAACAUCACGGUACCUAUGGUAUCCAAAAAGAACAUCACGGUACCUAUGGUAUCCAAAAAGAACAUCACGGUAUCUAUGGUACAAAAAGAACAUCACGGUACCUAUGGUACCCAAAAAGAACAUCACGGUACCUAUGGUACCCAAAAAGAACAUCACGGUACCUAUGGUACCCAAAAAGACCAUCACGGUACCUAUGGUACCCAAAAAGAACAUCACGGUAUCUAUGGUACCCAAAAAGAACAUCACGGUAUCUAUGGUACCCAAAAAGAACAUCACGGUACCUAUGGUACCCAAAAAGAACAUCACGGUACCUAUGGUACCCAAAAAGAACAUCACGGUACCUAUGGUACCCAAAAAGAACAUCACGGUACCUAUGGUACCCAAAAAGAACAUCACGGUACCUAUGGUACCCAAAAAGAACAUCACGGUACCUAUGGUACCCAAAAAGAACAUCACGGUACCUAUGGUACCCAAAAAGAACAUCACGGUACCUUUGGUAUCCAAAAAAGAACAUCACGGUACCUUUGGUAUCCAAAAAAGAACAUCACGGUACCUAUGGUAUCCAAAAAAGAACAUCACGGUACCUAUGGUAUCCAAAAAGAACAUCACGGUACCUAUGGUAUCCAAAAAGAACAUCACGGUACCUAUGGUAUCCAAAAAGAACAUCACGGUACCUAUGGUAUCCAAAAAGAACAUCACGGUACCUUUGGUAUCCAAAAAAGAACAUCACGGUACCUAUGGUAUCCAAAAAGAACAUCACGGUACCUAUGGUAUCCAAAAAGAACAUCACGGUACCUAUGGUAUCCAAAAAGAACAUCACGGUACCUAUGGUACCCAAAAAGAACAUCACGGUACCUAUGGUACCCAAAAAGAACAUCACGGUACCUAUGGUAUCCAAAAAGAACAUCACGGUACCUAUGGUACAAAUCGAUAAUUGGAGUGAAAUCGAUAAAAUAUUGUCCAAAAAUGAAACCGUGAUAUGUAACUGUAUGCAUUUUCAUCAUGUCUGGGUGUAAAGUGAAUGUGCAGCACUAGUAUCAUGGCCAUGAGUCUAUUGUUGUUGUGUAGGCAGACAGACCUAUGCUGCACUGAAGUCUAAACUGUAACGGCUGCAUGACUGGAGUAAAAAGUUGUUCAUUGUAGAAAUUGCAGAUAAGUGCAGAAAAACACUGGUCUGGUACUCAUCAUGAGUUGUACGUCUGGAAGUGUGACUGGAGGCUGGAUAUCCCUUUGGGAUGGGAAAUGAUUCCGGGUUAAGAAUACAUCUACUAGGUUCUGUUGCAUAGUGAAGAAAACAAUAGGUUGUCAAAGUAGGGAUGUGACAAAUGGAUGAUUUCUAUUAACUGUUAUACUGGUUUUAUUUUUUAGUGGUUUCCCAUUUAAAAGGCUAAGAAAAAAAGAAUACGGAUACUUCCGGCGCCGACAGAGAUGGCCCCCUCGCUUCGCGUUCCUAAGGUUUCACUCAGAGACAGCUAGAUCGCUGAAGCCCUGAGCUGGGGGAGCCCUGUCCUCAGCCUCAACUCACCUGGCUUGCAUUUUACCCAUCAACCCCCUUCUACCACGCAGACUCGCCGCAGCCCAGCCUGUCGUCACUAUGA